rnacentral:rRNA from 1 species
CCUACGGGAGGCAGCAGUGAGGAAUAUUGGUCAAUGGGCGCGAGCCUGAACCAGCCAAGUCGCGUGAGGGAAGACGGUCCUAUGGAUUGUAAACCUCUUUUGUCGGGGAGCAAAAGACGCCACGCGUGGCGUUCCGCGAGUACCCGAAGAAAAAGCAUCGGCUAACUCCGUGCCAGCAGCCGCGGUAAUACGGAGGAUGCGAGCGUUAUCCGGAGUUAUUGGGUUUAAAGGGUGCGCAGGCGGAAGAUCAAGUCAGCGGUAAAAUUGAGAGGCUCAACCUCUUCGAGCCGUUGAAACUGGUUUUCUUGAGUGAGCGAGAAGUAUGCGGAAUGCGUGGUGUAGCGGUGAAAUGCAUAGAUAGCACGCAGAACUCCGAUUGCGAAGGCAGCAUACCGGCGCUCAACUGACGCUCAUGCACGAAAGUGUGGGUAUCGAACAGGAUUAGAUACCCGAGUAGUC